UCGAGCAUUAUUGAUUCGAAAAUCCUCAGUUUCAGCCGGUUUCAGUCAGAAACGCGCCUAAACAAGGACGAAAAACGAAAUGUGGGUCAGAAUUCAGUGGUGGUGUGCGUUUUAGUCCUGUCCUGAACACUGCUUUCGCUGCAGGAAAAUAACGCCAACGUUAGUGCGACGAGUGCCACCGAAGAAAGCGCACAUUCACAAGAAAACAAACACAAAACCGUGCAAAAAUGACGUCUCCGGCAAUCAACGGCCAGAAAGAAAAUUCCAAGACCGACUCAAACGUGACUUUAUCCCAACAACAACAACAACAACAACAACAACAACAGGCCCAACAACCAUCAACGUCGAUUUUCGUCGCUUGGUGGCGAGUUUUUAAACUAGCAAACCUCUUGAUCAAGCAAAGUUGUUAGAUUAUGACGAGAUAUCAGGGCCGUAUGCACGAAAACGUCCCAAAAUCACCGAUUUUCGUACAAACGACCGCUAGUAGAUUAAAAAAAAAUUAUAGUAGAAUUCCUGUAACCUUUUAAUUAGUAAUGUGACGAGUUUCGAGCAAGAUCCCUUGAUGGUGGCACACAGUACAAGUUCUUCCAUCUUGCAUUAAUUUUAAUUCAUCAAUUAAUAACAAAUUGAACACCACGUGUGGUGGUACAAUAAACAUGGCCGCCCCUUUAAUGAUAGCUAUAUUUUCACAUCAUGUGUUGUGUUAUCACACGAAAUAUACCAUAACCCGUAUGUGAUAGAAAACAAUUAUCAUAAAUUUAUAUCGUGUUUUGGGUGAUAGAGUGAGUGGUCUCGAUUUUAUUUAAAUAAAUGUUAUCCACUGUUA